GAAAACCGCUGCCAGGGAGACUUUUGAACUCCGCCGCUCGCUGUCUGGCUCUCCCCUCUCGGCCCGGUGCACCUCUCUCCACCCUCCCCCCUGCACCCUCCUGGCCGGCGCGCUCGCCAGCGCGCUCGCUCGCUCGCUCUCCCGCGACCCGACGAGUCCUCAACAAGUUGGAGGAAGGCAGGAACGGAGGGGUUAAGCUCGGAGAGCCGCAAUUACCAAGAUCGUGACCCUCCCACACAGUACAGUAACUUAUAUACUUACCUGGAAGAGCCCGCUCUGCCGCCGGGCCAACACCCGUGGGGGGCGGGGAAGGGCGGGAGGGGAGCGGGCCGGUUGGAGAGGGGCUCCUCCACGCUGGCUGCAGUGCGGACCGGACCGGCGCGCUCCAGGGACCUGGGGACCCAGGUAAUCAAAACUGCCCUGACACCUGGACGUCUGCAUGAGGGAUGGUCACAGAAGGAGGAAGUCUCAGAGGCCAUAGGAGCUAAAGAGUCUAUGCAGAUGAGCUCUGGAGUCCCAGGAACUUGGCUUCUAAAAUGAAAAGGAAGUUUGGGGGAGAGUCUGGCAGUGCCGAUGGUUCCAGCAGAUGAAGAAUCAACCCGAUUUGCAGCUGGUGUUGAAACUGGUAAGCAGUUAAUCUGUUACUGUUUAGGAUGAAUAUAUCUGGGCUUUUUUUUUUUUUAUCACUUUUAACUAAGUUUAAGCUUAGUGCUUUCUUUU
rnacentral:lncRNA from 1 species